CAGUCGCCACGGGAAUACAGAGGUCCCGAGCGUUGUUCGGAUUCACUGGGCGUAAAGGGCGUGUAGGCGGCCUGGGGCGUCCCAUGUGAAAGGCCACGGCUCAACCGUGGAGGAGCGUGGGAUACGCUCAGGCUAGAGGGUGGGAGAGGGGGGUGGAAUUCCCGGAGUAGCGGUGAAAUGCGCAGAUACCGGGAGGAACGCCGAUGGCGAAGGCAGCCACCUGGUCCACUUCUGACGCUGAGGCGCGAAAGCGUGGGGAGCAAACCGGAUUAGAUACCCCCGUAGUCCCUGUCUCUUAUAC
rnacentral:rRNA from 1 species